rnacentral:tRNA from 1 species
UCGGCACGUAGCGCAGCCUGGUAGCGCACCGUCGAUGGGGUGUCGGGGGUCGGAGGUUCAAAUCCUCUCGUNNCCGAACCA